rnacentral:rRNA from 1 species
CCUAUUAUUUAAGAGGUAAAUAUUGUUAGUAAAUAAAAAUUACGAAAGCAAAAAAUUAUGGCGGUAUUUUAAGCUUUUCAGAGGAAUUUGCUCUUUAAUGGAUAAAACACCUGAAUCUUACUUAAAUUUGUUAAUUCAAUUUGUAUACCACUAUAAAAACAAUUAAUAACUUUAAUUGUUUAAACUUAUUAAAUUAAAUUAUAUUAAGUCAAGGUGCAGUAAAAAUUUAAGAAUGAAGUGAAUUACAUUUCUUUUUAGAGAAAGAAAUUUAAAUAACAUUUAGGAUUUGAAAGUAAAAUUGAAAUAGAAUGUCAAUU